rnacentral:lncRNA from 1 species
CUAGGUGGCCCUCUUGUUUACUUGCUCAUUCCGUGACUUGUUUUUGUAGGUAAAUCUUGGCUCAUCACCUAUCUUUCACUUGUGACUUUUUGUCUCCCAUCUUUCUCUAAGAUAAUUUUGUGACCUUCUCUGCUUCCUCAGUAUCAACAUACAUAUCUCCCUUCUUCAGCAAGUUAUGCAUCGACUCUUGGAGAUUCUUGUAGAGUGAUAUCCUAAAGGCUAGUUUUGCGUCUUGUUCAUCAGUGCAGUUACCACCGUCAACAUUUGAAGGUCCUCUAUUCCAAGUGUCACUCAACUAAAGCUGGCUAAGUAUUUC